rnacentral:rRNA from 1 species
CUCAUAGCGUAUAUUUAAGUUGUUGCGGUUAAAAAGCUCGUAGUCGGAUUUUGGCUGAGAACGGUCGGUCCGCCGUUAGGUGUGCACUGACUGGUCUCAGCUUCCUGGUGAGGAGGUGUGCUUCAUCGCCACUUAGUCACCGUGGUUACUUUGAAAAAAUUAGAGUGUUCAAAGCGGGCUUACGCUUGAAUAUAUUAGCAUGGAAUAACACCAUAGGACUCCUGUCCUAUUUCGUUGGUCCCGGGACGGGAGUAAUGAUUAAGAGGAACAGUUGGGGGCAUUCGUAUUUCAUUGUCAGAGGUGAAAUUCUUGGAUUUAUGAAAGACGAACUUCUGCGAAAGCAUUUGCCAAGGAUGUUUUCAUUGAUCAAGAACGAAAGUUGGGGGCUCGAAGAUGAUUAGAUACCAUCCUAGUCUCAACCAUAAACGAUGCCGACUAGGGAUUGGCGGAUGUUAAUUGAUGACUUCGCCAGCACCUUAUGAGAAAUCAAAGUUUUUGGGUUCCGGGGGGAGUAUGGUCGCAAGGCUGAAACUUAAAGGAAUUGACGGAAGGGCACCACCAGGCGUGGAGCCUGCGGCUUAAUUUGACUCAACACGGGGAAACUUACCAGGUCCAGACAUAGUAAGGAUUGACAGAUUGAGAGCUCUUUCUUGAUUCUAUGGGUGG